rnacentral:rRNA from 1 species
UACGUAGGGUGCGAGCGUUAAUCGGAAUUACUGGGCGUAAAGCGUGCGCAGGCGGUUCGCUAAGACCGAUGUGAAAUCCCCGAGCUUAACCUGGGAACUGCAUUGGUGACUGGCGGGCUAGAGUGUGGCAGAGGGGGGUAGAAUUCCACGUGUAGCAGUGAAAUGCGUAGAGAUGUGGAGGAAUACCGAUGGCGAAGGCAGCCCCCUGGGCUAACACUGACGCUCAUGCACGAAAGCGUGGGGAGCAAACAGG